UCAGCCUAGGCAACAGAGUGAGACCUUGUCUCAAACAAACAAACAAACAAACAAACAAACACACACCCAAAACCAAAACAAAACAGAAAGACAGAAAAUGGAAAAAACAAACCACAAAACCCUCUCAGCACUCCCAAUCCCCUUUCCCUGCUUUUUUUUUCUUUUUGAACAAAGCACUAUCUCUUAACAUAUUAUGUAAUUUACUUAUUAUGUUUAUUGUUUAUUUUCUGACUUCUGCAGUUAAUAUGUAAAGUCCUUGAGGGCAGGGAUCUUCUGUUGGUUUGUUCACUCAUAUAUUGUGAAUAAUAUCUAGCACAUAGUAGGCAUUCAAUGAAUGAAUGAAUGAACCUCUACUUAUCUUAUAAUUUAUUGUCCAAUUUUCUGCCUCAUUGACAUUUUCCUUUUAAUUACUGAGAUAUUUCAUCAUCUUUAUUUUCUGAACUUUGUGUUGAAUUUUGUUUGCUUGUUUGAGACAGGGACUCACUUUGUUGCCCAGGCUGGAAUGCAGUUGGUGAUCACAGCUCCCUGAAGCCUCAUCUUCCCAGGCUCAAACAUCCUCCCACCUCAGCCUCCCAAGUAGCUGGGACUACAGACAUGCACCACCAUGCCUGGCUAAAUUUUUAAAAAUUAUUUUUUGCAGAGACAGGGUCACAUUAUGUUGCUCAGGCUGGUCUUGGAUUUACUCCUGGGCUCAGUCCUCCCACCUUGGCCUCCCAAAGUGCAGGGAUUAUAGGCAUGAACACCUCGCCUGGCCCUUGUGUUAAAAUUUUAAUUUCUGCAAUCGUAUUUUAUUUCCAAAAGCUCUUCUUUGGCUUUCUAAAUGUUCAUGUUUAUAAUCUGGUUUUUCUUCAUGGAUAUGAUACCUUAAUUUUGAAGUUUUCUUCUUCCUUGAAUUAUCUGUUUCCUCUGAGUUUCUUUUUUCUGUUUCCCUUUUUGUUUUCCAUGCUAAAAAGCUUCCCUCAAAUUUCUGAUGAUUUUGUUUAUUCAUAUUUAAGUUCCAAGCACUAAAAGCUCAUUGGAAAUUCUGCCUACCUGGGUGGAACCUGUCAAUGAGUAGGUCUCGCUGGGUGGUGCUAGAUGUCCCUGGCCUUUUCGCAGGAGAACUCCAAAUACCAGUAUCUACAGAAUCGGGGAGGAGGGGGCUGGUUACUUUGCCAGUAAUGAUGCAUUGUCUUAGCUCCUGCCUGGGAGUAUAUGCCUGGCUGCCAGUGUAACGGGAUCUGAGCAGAUACAUGGCAUGGUGGGAGUGGGAGAGAAUUGUGGCUGGAAAUCUGAAGUUCAGUGUGUAGGUUUCCACUUGAGUUUUUAGUACAGAAUGUUAUCUUGCCCUAAAUCAGAGCGAGUAGCUCAAAGAUUAGAGUCCAUAAUAGUUCAACCCUGGCUUUCACUUGUGGAGGGGCAGGGUAAUUCCUGGUUGUUUGGGGGGCCAGGGGAGGAGUGCAGCAUGGUGGUUUGACUGUUUCUUACAAGCACCAUCAACUUUCCUCUUGCUUUUACUUCCACCCUGCACCUAUGCUUCUGAAGUGCUUACCCAGUACCUCUCACUUCUGAGCUGUCCCAGAGUUGAGUAGUUUAAAUCUGUUCCUUUCUUCUGAUCUUCCCGUCAGUGUAAAGUUUUGGUUUCUGGCCAUCCACUGAUUUUCCUGUCAACUUCCAAAGUUUGCUGAGAUCUCCUCUCUGCUGUUGCUUUCUCUGCUUUCUUUUUUUCUUCUGGGUUUCUCCAUGUUUAAUUUAUUUUACUCUCUAUUGUUGCCAGACAGGCCGUGUCUUCAAGCACAGGGUGAAGGAAUCCAGGGCACUUUCCCUCUCAGCUUCUGUGGGCUCCAGAGCUGUGGUGACUCCGAAGGGCAUACAGAGCAAUUCCCUGGGGAUCUUGUUAAAAUGCAGAUUCUGGUUCAGGUCUGUGGGGGGCCCUGGAUUCUGCAUUUCCAACACAUUCCCAGGGGCUGUCCCUGCUGCUCCCACAGGAGCACGCUUUAAGUAGUGAGGAUUUAGACAGAGCUUGCAUCUGUUAUAACUGGUUUCCGCUGCAUUUAACUGACUACCAGCCUCCCACAAUUAAAAGUUCCUCCCAGGCCAGGUGCAGUGGUUUAUGCCUGUAAUCCCAGCACUUUGGGAGGCCAAGGCAGGAGGAUCACAUGAAGUCAAGAGUUUGUGACCAGCCUGACCAACAUGGCUAAGCCCUGUCUACAAAAAUACAAGAAUUAGCCAGGUGUGGUGGCAUGCGCCUGUACUCCCAGUACUUUAGGAGGCCGAGGCAGGUGGAUCACUGGAGGUCAGGAGUUUGAGACUAGCCUGGCCAACAUGCUGAAAUCCUGUCUCUACUAAAAAUACAAAAAUUAGCUGGGAGUGAUGGCGGGCGCCUGUAAUCCCAGCUACUCAGGAGACUGAGGUAGGAGAAUGGCUUGGACCCAGGAAGCAGAGGUUGCAGUGAGCCGAGAUCACACCAUCGCACUCCAGCCUGGGUGACAGAGCGAGACUCUGCCUUAAAUAAAUAAAUAAAUAAAGUUUCUCCGUUUUCAUGAAUCUAGAAAUCUGAAGCUUGGCAGACAGGGAAGAAGGAGUCUUUUCCACAGUGUCUCAGGGAUGGUGGAGCUGUCCACUUUUCCUUGCAGAUUUAUCCACUUUUCUUUGCUUCGUCAUCUUUUUUGAGUGAUUUUCAUUGUCAAGGUCACAAUAUAGUGGCUGCCCUUCCAGGUAUCACGUUCAUUUUCCAUGAGGAUGAAGAGGUCAUGAGAGAGAACAAAAGGUAUAUGCCAAGUGAGUCUCCAUCUUUUAAUUGGGAAAACAGCAGCCUUCUGGGAAGCCAGACUCCUACUUCUCAUUGGCCAGCAGACGUCUACUAACAUCUCAUCAGCCACAUGACUGCAGGAAGCUUCAAGGCAGCUUUGUAAAUAAAAAUUCUUGGCUGGGCACGGUGGCUUACGCCUGUAAUCCCAGCACUUUGGGAGGCCGAGGUGGGCGGAUCACAAGGUCAGGAGAUCGAGACUGUGCUGGGUAACACGAUGAAACCCCGUCUCUACUGAAAAUACAAAAAAUUAGCCGGGCGUGGUGGCAGGUGCCUGUAGUCCCAGCUACUCGGGAGGCUGAGGCAGGAGAAUGGCGUGAACCUGGGAGGCGGAGCUUGCAGUGAGCCGAGAUCGCGCCACUGCACUCCAGCCUGCGCGACAGAGCGAGACCCCGCCUCA
rnacentral:lncRNA from 10 species